rnacentral:rRNA from 1 species
UAUGAAGGGGGCUAGCGUUGUUCGGAAUCACUGGGCGUAAAGCGCACGUAGGCUGAUUGGUCAGUUGGGGGUGAAAUCCCGGGGCUCAACCUCGGAACUGCCUUCAAUACUGCCAGUCUUGAGUCCGAGAGAGGUGAGUGGAAUUCCUAGUGUAGAGGUGAAAUUCGUAGAUAUUAGGAAGAACACCAGUGGCGAAGGCGGCUCACUGGCUCGGUACUGACGCUGAGGUGCGAAAGCGGGGGGAGCAAACAGG